CAAGGCGACGAUCCCUAGCUGGUCUGAGAGGAUGACCAGCCACACUGGAACUGAGACACGGUCCAGACUCCUACGGGAGGCAGCAGUGGGGAAUAUUGCACAAUGGGCGCAAGCCUGAUGCAGCCAUGCCGCGUGUAUGAAGAAGGCCUUCGGGUUGUAAAGUACUUUCAGCGGGGAGGAAGGUGUUGUGGUUAAUAACCGCAGCAAUUGACGUUACCCGCAGAAGAAGCACCGGCUAACUCCGUGCCAGCAGCCGCGGUAAUACGGAGGGUGCAAGCGUUAAUCGGAAUUACUGGGCGUAAAGCGCACGCAGGCGGUCUGUCAAGUCGGAUGUGAAAUCCCCGGGCUCAACCUGGGAACUGCAUUCGAAACUGGCAGGCUUGAGUCUUGUAGAGGGGGGUAGAAUUCCAGGUGUAGCGGU
rnacentral:rRNA from 1 species